GGAGUUUGGGCCGUGUCUCAGUCCCAAUGUGGCCGUACACCCUCUCAGGCCGGCUACUGAUCGUUGCCUUGGUGGGCCGUUACCUCGCCAACUAGCUAAUCAGACGCGGGUCCAUCUCAUACCACCGGAGUUUUUCACACUGCACCAUGCGGUGCUGUGCGCUUAUGCGGUAUUAUCAGUCGUUUCCAACUGCUAUCCCCCAGUAUGAGGCAGGUUACCCACGCGUUACUCACCCGUCCGCCGGUCGCCAUCAAAGUUUGCAAGCAAACUUCAUGCUGCCCCUCGACUUGCAUGUGUUAAGCCUGUAGCUAGCGUUCAUC
rnacentral:rRNA from 1 species